rnacentral:lncRNA from 1 species
AGAACCAAAAACCUAGGGAUUUCCUCUGAAACUCCUCCCAUCCAUCUAGCCAAGCAUAACAACAAUUUAGUCAUCCUCAAGAUGGAGAACACCAUGGUAGCUUCGGAAUCGUGAAUUCUUCGGUGUUUCACUUUUCAUAGCAAGACUCCGCCUUGAAGAAAUUUCGAAUUUUGAGUAAUUCUGGUCACAUAAGGUAUGAUUUAACUUCCUCUUUGAUCUUUGUAAACUUCUACCAUAAGAAUUCCUAAGAAAUAGUUGAAACCUCUAUAGAAAUGUUCUUGAUUUUGUUAAGAAACCUCUCUUAAUAUGACUUGAUUGAUGGGCCUGUUCUAUAUGGUUUUAUUGUGUUGUUUGGAUCUGUGAAGACAUGGGUGGAUUCCUGUCGAUGAGGAGAUGUAGUAAAGUAAAAUUUGGUGGUGUGUUGGGGGGAAUUAAUCUGCAAAAUAGUCUACAAAUUCAUGGCCACAAGUUGUUCGCGUAAAUGUCUAAAUGAAGAAUUAUAUAAGCUAUGAUCUUGAAUUUGAUUUUGAAUGGUUUGUAUUAUGUAGGAAAUCAUUCCUAAGGCUUUUGAGGUCUUGGAAACAGUAUAUAACUUC